rnacentral:lncRNA from 1 species
CUCUAGGUGCACAGAGAACUGUGGAUCAUUAUCAGUCACAACCUGUGUACAUCAUCAGUCACAUGUGUGUACAUGCAUGUUUGCCUCCACAGAUAAAACCACAUGAAUACAGAGGAAAAUACAUAGACAGACAUCCACACAAAUAUACAUAGACUAAGUCAGGAACACUCUGAUAAUCAUAAAUACACAUACAGAAGCUGCAUUUAAUCAGUAUGAAAGACAAUCCUUUCAAGCACCUUCACCCAUGCUUGCUGUCACAAGUAUGCACACACAAGCAUCACGUGCACACACUUUGAUCAUGUGACUAGUCUGUGAGCAUAUGGAGUAUAUAGAGUACAGUUUGUCUUGUUCUAACCACAUUCUUUUUAUAAAGAGCUUUCUAUAGAUCCCUAUAUCAGCAGGACAAUUUCAUAUCCUAUUACAAUCUGCCAAGAAGAAACAGAUAAAUCUAUUAGCCUGUUCUUUGCUUGUUUCAUCAUUGUGACAGUCUCUCAUGGGUCUACAUCCAUCAGGCUCCCACACCACCUGACAGCCGAGUCUCCACCACCAAGCUGCAGGUACAAGACAACCUGGCAGUUGGUGCUAAUGGGGUGCCUUACUUCCCCUCCACAUGGUUUUCCAUCCCCCUAAAGACUUCCUUACAAGGUGGGUUCAAGGCAAUUUUUCAACAGAACAAACAACAGAAACUACAAGGGUUCUAAAGGCCUAGACUUGAGG